UAGCAAAUUAACUCACAUCUUGGCAAUAAUUCACAAUCCACAAUAAUAUCACAACACAUAGAACAGAUACAAGGAAAUAAUUGACAGUAUUUCUGUUCAUUGUUACCAAGCACUACAGUAACACUGUAGGUUAUGUUGUAUUUGAAAUAUAUUAUUUUUUAAUAGCUACCAACUAAACAGAAAAUGAAAUGACAAUGACAGUUGAAGAUUUAAUUUUGUUUCAGAAACUACCACCAUCUGUUUACGUACGUUUCAUCCUUUUGGAUUCUUCAGAACAGCCCGUGUUGUGCUCUGAGUCGAAACCAAAUCUCCCUGUCAUGUUGGCAAAUUAAUAAGAAAUAUCCACAAGGAAGAAUUUCCUGUAUACUGGCUGUAUACCAUUAAUUAAAAGUAAAUUUAAUGAACAUUUUUUUCUUUCUAAAAGGUAUAUUUAUUUAAAAACCCUUGCAUUUACCAUUGCCACUCACCGCUCUCAAUGUGAAGACUUAAUUUUUCACUUAUCAACCCGCGUGCCACGUGGGAGUCAUAUAGUGCCCCAGGGCCUUGUUUAGACAUUUUAUAAAAUUUAUUUUGUUAUAUUUUUUAAUGUAAGCUUUGAUUAUAUGAUGGAUGUUGCUAUGGUUGACGCUAACAACAAAAAUAUUAUA
rnacentral:lncRNA from 1 species